rnacentral:rRNA from 1 species
UACGUAGGGUGCAAGCGUUAAUCGGAAUUACUGGGCGUAAAGCGUGCGCAGGCGGCUUUGCAAGACAGAUGUGAAAUCCCCGGGCUUAACCUGGGAACUGCAUUUGUGACUGCAAGGCUGGAGUGCGGCAGAGGGGGAUGGAAUUCCGCGUGUAGCAGUGAAAUGCGUAGAUAUGCGGAGGAACACCGAUGGCGAAGGCGGCUCUCUGGACAGGUACCGACGCUGAGGCACGAAAGCUAGGGGAGCAAACAGG